CCGGGGAAACCACACAAGGCGAUUACACGCUAAGUCCCGUUAACUGCAGUUUAACGCUACUAAAAAUUAUAUGAUAAAGUUAUGCAGUCGAAAAGCAGAAAUAUUUACAAAAUAGGGUGGUUCCGACUUAAUGGGAACAUAAAAAAUCCUCUUUAUAUAUAGAUAUAAAUACAUACAUAUCUAUACACGAAAAAUAUAGUUAACUGCAUUUCACCCACCUUUUGACACCCUUUAUAUGCACUUAGCUUUCAGUUUGACCACUUAAGCCAUACACAAAGACACAGUCAAAAGCUCAGCGCAGUGUGCAAGUAAACCGAUAAGCAAUCAAUCACACCUUACAACAAAACCAAUAACAAUUAAACAAUUUUUUCUGUAUUUUUUACAACAAAUGAACUUUGACGUUUAGAUUGCCGCCGUUGGCCAUGCACUGAGUCGCCCACAAAACUGCAGCCAUUAAGCUUACACAUUUCAAAUGAAGACAAAUGCGGUAUUUUGAUAUGCUGGUGCAUAGGAAAAAGAGUAAAUACGUGGAAAACAAGCAGCAAAGUGCGGAGAAAUUGAAUAUUAACUAAUUAGUGUGUUUUCGUAUGCAUGUUAAGUGCAGAAGGGGGCGUAAUGGAUUUUGUUAACACAAAAAAAAAAACAUUUUCUUUGUGCGCCAUAAAAGCUAAAGGUAGAUGCAUAGAAUGCAAAUGCAAGGUUGCAAUGGCGGACAUUUUUUU